AAAAACCAAUGUGAUCAUUUCUGGAUUCAAAGAGUUGGCAAUUAAAAACAGAAAGUUUUUAACCAUUUUAUUUUAUUUUUUAUGUUUUUUUAAAAAAGAUGAGGUCUCACCAUGUUGCCCAGGCUGGUCUCAAAUGCCUGGGCUCAAGUGAUCCUGCCGCCUCCAUCUCCCAAAAUGCUGGGAUUACAGGCGUGAGCCACUACACCUGGCACUUAACCAUUUUAGGUGAAAGUUCCCCUUGAGAACCCAGUGAAGGAAGUGGACCCUCUUUCAAGAAGCUACUCAUCUAAAAAGCACAUGAGAUUUUGUAUUCAGCUUGGUAGGUUCACAGAUCCUUGAGAAUCUAUUCACUAUCUUCCUAAAAUUAUGUGGAUUCUGACGUCACAGUAACUCCAUGAAAUACAGACUUGAAGACACAUACAAGAACACUGUUAUUUUGAGACAGGGUCCUGCUGUGUCAUGCAGGCUGGACUGCAGUGGUGCAAUCAUGGCUCACUGCAGCCUUGACCUCCUGGACUUACAUGAUCCUCCCAACUCAGCCUCCCGAGUAGCU
rnacentral:lncRNA from 10 species